GCCCAGAUGGUGAAAUCGGUAGACACAAGGGAUUUAAAAUCCCUCGGCGGAAACGCUGUGCGGGUUCAAGUCCCGCUCUGGGCACCA
rnacentral:tRNA from 1 species